rnacentral:rRNA from 1 species
GGCUCAGGACGAACGCUGGCGGCGUGCUUCAUACAUGCAAGUCGAACGAUAAGGUCUCUUCGGAGACACAUAAGUGGCGGACGGGUGAGUAAAAUGUAGAGAAUCUGCCCUAGAGUGGGGGACAACAGUUGGAAACGACUGCUAAUACCGCAUAUGAGCGCAGCUGAGAUGCUGUUCUUGAAAACUCCGGUGCUCUGGGAUGAGUCUGCAUCUGAUUAGCUAGUUGGCGGUGUAAUGGACCCCCAAGGCGACGAUCAGUAGCUGGUUUGAGAGGAUGAUCAGCCACAAUGGGACUGAGACACGGCCCAUACUCCUACGGGAGGCAGCAGUAGGGAAUUUUGCGCAAUGGGGGAAACCCUGACGCCAGCAACGCCGCGUGAUUGAAUAAGCCCUUCGGGGUGUAAAGAUCUGUCAGUGGGGACGAAACUUGACGGUACCCACAGAGGAAGCAUCGGCUAACUCCGUGCCAGCCGCCGC